rnacentral:rRNA from 1 species
AGUGAACGCUGGCGGUAGGCCUAACACAUGCAAGUCGAACGGCAGCACAGUAAGAGCUUGCUCUUACGGGUGGCGAGUGGCGGACGGGUGAGGAAUACAUCGGAAUCUACUUUUUCGUGGGGGAUAACGUAGGGAAACUUACGCUAAUACCGCAUACGACCUACGGGUGAAAGCAGGGGAUCUUCGGACCUUGCGCGAUUGAAUGAGCCGAUGUCGGAUUAGCUAGUUGGCGGGGUAAAGGCCCACCAAGGCGACGAUCCGUAGCUGGUCUGAGAGGAUGAUCAGCCACACUGGAACUGAGACACGGUCCAGACUCCUACGGGAGGCAGCAGUGGGGAAUAUUGGACAAUGGGCGCAAGCCUGAUCCAGCCAUACCGCGUGGGUGAAGAAGGCCUUCGGGUUGUAAAGCACUUUUGUUGGGAAAGAAAAGCAGCAGGUUAAGACCCCGCUGUUCUGACGGUACCCAAAGAAUAAGCACCGGCUAACUUCGUG